AUUGCCCUAGUAACGGCGAGUGAAGCGGCAACAGCUCAAAUUUGAAAUCUGGCCUUCGGGUCCGAGUUGUAAUUUGUAGAGGAUGCUUUUGGUGAGGUGCCUUCCGAGUUCCCUGGAACGGGACGCCAUAGAGGGUGAGAGCCCCGUCUGGUUGGACACCGAUCCUCUGUAAAGCUCCUUCGACGAGUCGAGUAGUUUGGGAAUGCUGCUCUAAAUGGGAGGUAUAUGUCUUCUAAAGCUAAAUAUUGGCCAGAGACCGAUAGCGCACAAGUAGAGUGAUCGAAAGAUGAAAAGCACUUUGAAAAGAGAGUUAAAAAGUACGUGAAAUUGUUGAAAGGGAAGCGCUCAUGACCAGACUUGGGCUUGGUUGAUCAUCCAGGGUUCUCCCUGGUGCACUCUUCCAGUUCAGGCCAGCAUCAGUUCGCUGUGGGGGAUAAAGGCUUUGGGAAUGUGGCUCCCUCGGGAGUGUUAUAGCCCAUUGUGUAAUACCCUGUGGUGGACUGAGGUUCGCGCAUUCGCAAGGAUGCUGGCGUAAUGGUCAUCAGUGACCCGUCUUGAAACACGGACCAAGGAGUCGUCUUCGUAUGCGAGUGUUCGGGUGUUAAACCCCUACGCGUAAUGAAAGUGAACGCAGGUGAGAGCUUCGGCGCAUCAUCGACCGAUCCUGAUGUUCUCGGAUGGAUUUGAGUAAGAGCAUACGGGGCCGGACCCGAAAGAAGGUGAACUAUGCCUGUAUAGGGUGAAGCCAGAGGAAACUCUGGUGGAGGCUCGCAGCGGUUCUGACGUGCAAAUCGAUCGUCAAAUAUGGGCAUGGGGGCGAAAGACUAAU
rnacentral:rRNA from 1 species